rnacentral:rRNA from 1 species
GACGAACGCUGGCGGCGUGCUUAACACAUGCAAGUCGAACGGAAAGGCCCUGCCUUUGUGGGGUGCUCGAGUGGCGAACGGGUGAGUAACACGUGAGUAACCUGCCCUUGACUUUGGGAUAACUUCAGGAAACUGGGGCUAAUACCGGAUAGGAGCUCCUGCUGCAUGGUGGGGGUUGGAAAGUUUCGGCGGUUGGGGAUGGACUCGCGGCUUAUCAGCUUGUUGGUGGGGUAGUGGCUUACCAAGGCUUUGACGGGUAGCCGGCCUGAGAGGGUGACCGGCCACAUUGGGACUGAGAUACGGCCCAGACUCCUACGGGUGGCAGCAGUGGGGAAUAUUGCACAAUGGGCGGAAGCCUGAUGCAGCAACGCCGCGUGCGGGAUGACGGCCUUCGGGUUGUAAACCGCUUUCGCCUGUGACGAAGCGUGAGUGACGGUAAUGGGUAAAGAAGCACCGGCUAACUACGUG